rnacentral:sRNA from 1 species
GCCGGGGACCACCCGGGAAGGUGGCAGAGCGGUUGAAUGUACCUGACUCGAAAUCAGGCAGGCGUUUAUAGCGCCUCGGGGGUUCGAAUCCCCCCCUUCCCGCCAGCAUCCUACAAAGCCCCCGCAAGGGGGCUUUGUUUUGCCUGCAGCCAUGCCGUCCACGUGCGGGGCGCUAGA